GGUGCUGGCAUUUCAUGUGUGAAGCAUUCACAAGUUAAUAGCAGGGAUGUAACAGAACUCCAGAGGAACACAGAAAGAGAACCUUCUGAUGCACAAGAAGAUUCCUUUGAUGAUGAAGAUAUUUCUUGGUAUCAAAAUUUGGGGACAGAUGACCCCUACAGUUACGCAUCUGACAUUGUCCCUGAGUAUGAUGAUGUCUUGCCUUCUGAAGGUCCCUCGGAUGGAAACCCCAAUACAUCAC